AGUGAACGCUGGCGGUAGGCCUAACACAUGCAAGUCGAACGGCAGCACAGUAAGAGCUUGCUCUUACGGGUGGCGAGUGGCGGACGGGUGAGGAAUACAUCGGAAUCUACUUUUUCGUGGGGGAUAACGUAGGGAAACUUACGCUAAUACCGCAUACGACCUACGGGUGAAAGCAGGGGAUCUUCGGACCUUGCGCGAUUGAAUGAGCCGAUGUCGGAUUAGCUAGUUGGCGGGGUAAAGGCCCACCAAGGCGACGAUCCGUAGCGGGUCUGAGAGGAUGAUCAGCCACACUGGAACUGAGACACGGUCCAGACUCCUAUGGGAGGCAGCAGCGGGGAAUAUUGGACAAUGGGCGCAAGCCUGAUCCAGCCAUACCGCGUGGGUGAAGAAGGCCUUCGGGUUGUAAAGCCCUUUUGUUGGGAAAGAAAAGCAGCAGGUUAAUACCCCGCUGUUCUGACGGUACCCAAAGAAUAAGCACCGGCUAACUUCGUG
rnacentral:rRNA from 1 species